rnacentral:rRNA from 1 species
GACGAACGCUGGCGGCGUGCCUAAUACAUGCAAGUCGAGCGAGUCUGCCUUGAAGAUCGGAGUGCUUGCACUCUGUGAAACAAGAUUCAGGCUAGCGGCGGACGGGUGAGUAACACGUGGGUAACCUGCCCAAGAGAUCGGGAUAACACCUGGAAACAGAUGCUAAUACCGGAUAACAACAGAUGAUGCCUAUCAACUGUUUAAAAGAUGGUUCUGCUAUCACUCUUGGAUGGACCUGCGGUGCAUUAGCUAGUUGGUAGGGUAACGGCCUACCAAGGCGAUGAUGCAUAGCCGAGUUGAGAGACUGAUCGGCCACAUUGGGACUGAGACACGGCCCAAACUCCUACGGGAGGCAGCAGUAGGGAAUCUUCCACAAUGGACGCAAGUCUGAUGGAGCAACGCCGCGUGAGUGAAGAAGGGUUUCGGCUCGUAAAGCUCUGUUGUUGGUGAAGAAGGACAGGGGUAGUAACUGACCUUUGUUUGACGGUAAUCAAUUAGAAAGUCACGGCUAACUAAGUG